rnacentral:tRNA from 1 species
UGUGCAGUAGCUCAGUGGUGGAGCUCCCGCUUCAUAUGCGGGAAGAUUUGGGUUCGAAUCAUGGUUGCUUAC